rnacentral:rRNA from 1 species
AUUGAACGCUGGCGGCAGGCCUAACACAUGCAAGUAGAACGAGUGGCGGACGGGUGAGUAAUGUCUGGGAAACUGCCUGAUGGAGGGGGCUAACUACUGGAAACGGUAGCUAAUACCGCAUACCAUCAGAUGUGCCCAGAUGGGAUUAGCUAGGUGGUGGGGUAACGGCUCACCAAGGCGACGAGCCCUAGCUGGUCUUAGAGGAUGACCAGCCACACGUGAACUGAGACACGGUCCAGACUCCUACGGGAGGCAGCGUUGGGGAAUAUUGCACAAUGGGCGCAAGCCUGAUGCAGCCAUGCCGCGUGUAUGAAGAAGGCCUUCGGGUUGUAAAGUACUUUCAGCGGGGAGGCGUUACCCGCAGAAGAAGCACCGGCUAACUCCGUGCCAGCAGCCGCGGUAAUUC